rnacentral:rRNA from 1 species
UACGUAGGGUGCAAGCGUUAAUCGGAAUUACUGGGCGUAAAGCGUGCGCAGGCGGUUUCGUAAGUCUGUCGUGAAAUCCCCGGGCUUAACCUGGGAAUGGCGAUGGAGACUGCGAGGCUAGAGUUUGGCAGAGGGGGUAGAAUUCCGCGUGUAGCAGUGGAAAUGCGUAGAGAUGUGGAGGAACACCGAUGGCGAAGGCAGCCCCCUGGGUCAAAACUGACGCUCAUGCACGAAAGCGUGGGGAGCAAACAGG